CAGAGCACAGGGUGAGGACCACAGCUCUGUGAGGGAGCCCGUGUGCGCACUGACCAUGGAACAAUCCUGUGAACAGCAGCAAGUUUUCCAACAGGAGCCCCUCACAGCUUGGAGCUGCUCAUGGUAGUGGGAUCUUGCUGCAUUUGAAUUAAUUUCCAACUUCGACAGUGAAACUGAUUGCAAGAGGGUACAGAUCAUGUGCCAGAAAUGAUCAGCACGGCCAGAACUUAAUGCCUGUUUUCAAUUGCCAUCUG